rnacentral:rRNA from 1 species
UACGUAGGGUGCGAGCGUUAAUCGGAAUUACUGGGCGUAAAGCGUGCGCAGGCGGUUUUGUAAGACAGAUGUGAAAUCCCCGGGCUCAACCUGGGACCUGCAUUUGUGACCGCAAGGCUAGAGUACGGCAGAGGGGGGUGGAAUUCCACGUGUAGCAGUGAAAUGCGUAGAGAUGUGGAGGAACACCAAUGGCGAAGGCAGCCCCCUGGGUCGAUACUGACGUUCAUGCACGAAAGCGUGGGGAGCAAACAGG